UUUGACCUCGAAUCUUCAUCUCAUUUCUGAUUUCUCAUUGUUUGACUUUGACUUUCAAUGUCAUUUGGUCAACACAUAUGGAUUGGUACAUUUUAUUACACCUAUGCACUUUAUUCUUUCCAUUUCCUUUUCCAUUAUUCAUCUCUUUCUUCUUCUUCUUCUUUUUCUUUUUUUGGAUCAAUGAGUUGAAGGUUGAUAAGUUAGCAUUGAUUAGGGAGACUUAAUCUUCCUUGAUUCAAAUCUAAUUCAUCUUGAUCAAUU
rnacentral:lncRNA from 1 species